CAGAGUUGCAAAACUCCCUAAACCAUCGCGAACGUACCUUUACUGUUGCUUCGGCGGAGCCCUCACGGGCGCCCGCCGGCGGCACUACAAACUCUUUUUAUUACAGGCCUCUCUGAGUAUUUAUACAAAUAAGUUA
rnacentral:misc_RNA from 1 species